rnacentral:rRNA from 1 species
UUGAACGCUGGCGGCAGGCCUAACACAUGCAAGUCGAACGGUAACAGAAAGCAGCUUGCUGCUUUGCUGACGAGUGGCGGACGGGUGAGUAAUGUCUGGGAAACUGCCUGAUGGAGGGGGAUAACUACUGGAAACGGUAGCUAAUACCGCAUAACGUCGCAAGACCAAAGAGGGGGACCUUCGGGCCUCUUGCCAUCGGAUGUGCCCAGAUGGGAUUAGCUAGUAGGUGGGGUAACGGCUCACCUAGGCGACGAUCCCUAGCUGGUCUGAGAGGAUGACCAGCCACACUGGAACUGAGACACGGUCCAGACUCCUACGGGAGGCAGCAGUGGGGAAUAUUGCACAAUGGGCGCAAGCCUGAUGCAGCCAUGCCGCGUGUAUGAAGAAGACCUUCGGGUUGUAAAGUACUUUCAGCGGGGAGGAAGGGAGUAAAGUUAAUACCUUUGCUCAUUGACGUUACCCGCAGAAGAAGCACCGGCUAACUCCGUG